rnacentral:rRNA from 1 species
GCGGCCAAGCGAAAGCAUUAAGUAUUCCACCUGGGGAGUACGCCGGCAACGGUGAAACUCAAAGGAAUUGACGGGGGCCCGCACAAGCGGAGGAACAUGUGGUUUAAUUCGAUGAUACGCGAGGAACCUUACCCGGGCUUAAAUUGCACCUGAAUAAUGUGGAAACAUGUUAGCCGUAAGGCAGGUGUGAAGGUGCUGCAUGGUUGUCGUCAGCUCGUGCCGUGAGGUGUCGGCUUAAGUGCCAUAACGAGCGCAACCCUUAUCUUCAGUUACUAACAGGUCAUGCUGAGGACUCUGGAGAGACUGCCGUCGUAAGAUGUGAGGAAGGUGGGGAUGACGUCAAAUCAGCACGGCCCUUACGUCCGGGGCUACACACGUGUUACAAUGGGAGGUACAGAAGGCCGCUACCUGGCGACAGGAUGCCAAUCCCCAAAACCUCUCUCAGUUCGGAUCGAAGUCUGCAACCCGACUUCGUGAAGCUGGAUUCGCUAGUAAUCGCGCAUCAGCCAUGGCGCGGUGAAUACGUUCCCGGGCCUUGUACUCACCGA